UACGUAGGGGGCAAGCGUUGUCCGGAAUCAUUGGGCGUAAAGCGCACGUAGGCGGCUUUGUAAGUUAGAGGUGAAAGCCCAGGGCUUGACCCUGGAAUUGCCUUUAAGACUGCAUCGCUAGAAUUGUGGAGAGGUAAGUGGAAUUCCGAGUGUAGAGGUGAAAUUCGUAGAUAUUCGGAAGAACACCAGUGGCGAAGGCGACUCACUGGACGACUGUUGACGCUGAGGUGCGAAAGCGUGGGGAGCAAACAGG
rnacentral:rRNA from 1 species